GAUAAACUCUAGUUUGCCAACAGCGCACGGCUGAUAACCGUGAGGUCGGGGGAUCGAAGCCCCCCUUUCGCACCA
rnacentral:tRNA from 1 species